rnacentral:tRNA from 1 species
CACCUGAGUAUUCUAAGUACUCCUGCCUUCCAAGCAGAAAGAUUAAGUAAACCCUUAAAGAGUGU